rnacentral:misc_RNA from 1 species
GUGAAUCAUCGAAUUUUUGAACGCAAAUUGCACUCUCUGGGAUGCCUAAGAGUAUGCGUGUGUGAGUGUCAGUUUAAAUAAAAAUGUGUGUGGUUGCUGCCUUUCGUGGGGACGCACCGGAUUUGUGUCGUCUUGCCUUCGGUUAAGUUACCUUAAAUUUUUCAUGAGUUUUUUCGAACGUAUUUAAAUGAUUUUACGUACGUUUUCUAUAUCUGAUACUAGUUGUGUUCAUCGUCAUGAUUCGCUGCGAUAAUUUUUCAUCAAAAUUACCU